AGAGGUUACUGCUAUCGAGGUUCGACUAAGCCAUGCGAGUCGAAUGUAGCAAUACAUGGCGUACUGCUCAGUAACACGUGGACAACCUACCCUCCGGACGGGUAUAAACCCGGGAAACUGGGUAUAAUCCCCGAUAGAUCUCGGUCGCUGGAAUGCCCCGAGAUCGAAAGCUCCGGCGCCAGAGGAUGGGUCUGCGGCCUAUCAGGUAGUAGUGGGUGUAGCGUACCUACUAGCCUACGACGGGUACGGGUUGUGAGAGCAAGAGCCCGGAGAUGGAUUCUGAGACACGAAUCCAGGCCCUACGGGGUGCAGCAGGCGCGAAAACUUUACAAUGCCGGCAACGGCGAUAAGGGGACCUCGAGUGCCAGGUUACAAAUCUGGCUGUCGUGAUGCCUAAAAA
rnacentral:rRNA from 1 species